UAUGUACAUGAUUACAACAUAAAUUUAAUGCACUGGAUCCCAUUAGAACUUCACAUUUAAGUUCAUUUGGGCUAGAACAGUACUGGGAUGGGUGACUAGCCAAGAAUUCCUAGUAUUUUACAUGC
rnacentral:rRNA from 1 species